AGGCAAAGUGUGCUGGGGACUGUGGUGAGCCCCGUGUUUUCCAUUACAAUUAUACCACAGAAAAAAACGAAAGUACUACAGAAGCUAGCGCACAAGAGGAAAUUCUGAGUCUCAGCCUUCCACUACCUUAUCUUCUGGGUAAUGCCAAAGGAGAAACUUUCUCUCCCAAGUUGCCUUCAAACCUGACAAGCCUCCAGUUAGAACUGCUUCCAAAAGUGGAGAGAUGGCAUUCGAAAGAAGAGGUCAUUUAAAAAAAAACAGAAGAGGAGAAAGUAUCUUCAUCAACUGUAUUUCCCAUAUUGUUAACUUUCAUUCACUUCUCUUAGCUGGUGGUGUUCAUGCCACUGCACAUCUACUUCUCUUGCUGUUCUGAUCAGUCAUAUUGUGUGUUAAUUUUUCUUUCUAGGCAUAUAAAUGGACACCUUUCAAAACCCAAAAUAGUUAGUCAGUGUUCAGUCAAUGGGUUGAAUGAGAAUGCUUCAGACGGUGAAGGGGAGAUGAUCUAGAAGAGUUACAGGUUCAUUGUUUGCAGAAAUACAGUUAAUAUGUUGCUUCAUGUUAAAAGUUGCCAGCGUCAUUGGCAAGCACUAAAGAUGAACAUGAAGGAGUUAUACUUGUCUGGAUCUGAUUAAUUUUGGCACAGUCGUUGUUCCCAUGGCUAAGCCCUGGUGCACUGCUGUUCUUGUCAGGGCUUGAAAUUAUGGAGCAGGAUGGAGUAAAUGAGAGCACCUGAAAUGAACAGAAGGUGAGGAGGGGAUGUGUCCUGGGACACUGGCCAGAGGAUGGAAGUCAAAGAUUCUUCUAAAGUGUAACUAAAUUCAUACCUAAGUGGACAUGUUUCUGCUGAAAGAUAUGCAAGUAGGAGCACUGUAUACACUGGACUUCACUGCUGAAACUUAAUUGGACUACAGUAUUAGCUUGAAUAUCAAGCUUGACCAACAAGGAUGCCUUCUAAUGAAUACAAAGUCAAACACAACUUUGGAAUAAAUUAAGAAAAAGAUAAGUUUUGUUUUAACACCUUUGUUCUCAUAAGUUUUCUUUUUAUGGUCACAAAGGUAUUUACACAUGAAAAAGUAAUUUCUGGCUAAUGAUCCAAAAUGCAAUUCCAGGCACAUAUGGGAAAGUACUAAGACUGCUGGGGAAUGACCCAGUCACCUGCAGAGUGGGAUGGCUGCGGUUCUCCUGGCCUUCUCCUUCACCUCUGAUCUUAUGCUGUGUCUCUCCUUGAAAAGCACCACUCACACUCAGCAAGGGCCUGCCCAGCGGGAGUAUAUUUGUUUGGGCAGUUUGGUGGGGGAUCUCUGAGGACCUGGCAGCUGGGCUGGGUGUGAUAUGCUGAGGUUGAAGACCGCCACUGUGUAUCUUGGGUCACCUGAGAUCCCUGGGGCAUCCUCUGGUCUGUCUCUGUGUAGAGUACAAGUAAACCCUCAACAAUAUAAACUUUUAAAAUAAUCAUAUGUAAGUAAUGAAAAUCCUCUUUAGACAAGCAAAAUGCUUAGCUAUUAGCUAAAUCCUGGCAAAGAUUACUGGUGACUUUUAUUUUAAAAUGAGAAAUCUAAUAACUGAGACUUCUUGUUAGGAUGGGAAAAAUAUUUCUUUGCCUUAAUGUUAUGCUGUAUAUAUUUUUCCACUUUUAAUGAUAAGGGUAGCCAAAAAGCAUGAAAAACAUAUAUAAUUAGCUCCAGCUAUAUAAGUAUAAAUCCAUAUGCUAGUUAUCCUUUAGAAAAAGAGCCAUUUGUGUUAAAUUCAUUAAGACUUUCCUAUUAAAAACUGAACACCCAUGAAUUAGUUUGACAGAGAAAAACUGCUGGAGUGUUUGCUUGGAUUUGGCUUGGUGUGCUCCCAGCCUUUGUCUUUGCUGCAAACAUUGCUGCCAGUUAUUUCACCCAGCCUACCCACAGCCUUGGACCCCAGAGUGAUUUGAUUAACAGAUGAUGAAUUGCGCUAACUUGAACUGUGGCUUGUGGUUGAAGUCCAUCUGCUUUAUUACUUUGGUUCUCAGCAGAGUUUGACUGUUAUGCCACAAACCCUAUUAGGUUGGCUAGUUCAGAUUUGAAGCAUUUAUUGAAAUUAAGGUAGAGAUAUAGGUGGCUGGAUGGGAGUUCAUUAAUAGAAAAUACAUAGGCAUAUAGCUUUUGCAAUGAAAGAAGGCUGAAUAAACAUAUGAAUAAAUCACUCAAAUGUAAGCAGCUCAUUAGAAUUGUUAUAAUGUUGACAACAAAUUCGGAUUGUGAGGCUGGGGAGUUUUCUCUCUGAAUCUCCCUUUUUUUCUCUCAAAGCACAGACGCUGAAAGGAGAGGUGUGAGUGAUGAAGGAAGAUGCUAAAAUAUGAGAAGAAGUUUUAAUUAUAGUAGUGUCUAUUCUGUUGAAGCAGAGUUCUCUGUAUUUACAUGAAUUUCUCUCUUCAGAAACUGCAAUGCUGAACCUACUUUAUUGUUGGCUUUAUUUUGAAGCGGUUUAGACCAUGACUUAAGUUCUUUGAUUAAAUGAAUUACUUACAUGCUGAGUCCUCCACAAUGCAGUGACCAUGGAUGAUGGGGGAAGUGAUGCAGAAUUGGUGACUCUGUUCUACUUCUUUUCCCAGUUGUCUGUCAUUUUCCUGCAUUGGCAGGCCAGAGUGAAGAAAAGCACGUGAAAGGCGUACCAAGAGAGCAUGGCAGCAUGCACAAGCCUAUGAGAAGGCAGAGGUGGGGAAAAGUCACAGAAAAAUGUUGACAAAACCCCAAGAGAGUAUAUGUGAAGAAACUAUGGAAAAUAAAGACCAGCUGACUGAGAGAUGCUGCUACAUCCAAUGCUGAGCACAUCAGCCCCAGGAACCAGUGCUCCUGGUGGCACCUCCACCACUGCAAACCCACACCAGAAUGGAAAGCCAGGCAAAGACAGCAGAAGUAGAGAAGAAAUGGGGGCAAAAAGAAUUCCUGAGUCACAGAGAUGAUGAGGAGGAUACUGAAGAAAGACAAGCAGACCAAGAUAAAAUCACAGCCAUUUUCCAGCUGGAGGAGCCUCCCAGCUUAGUUAGUAACAAAGACUGAAGUCCAGACAUGCUUCUAAUAAGGCCAGUAUUAAAUCAUCACAAUUACUUUACCUUAUGGUAAUGCUACUUCAUCAUCAUGGCACAGCUAUAAAUACAAUAUUGUAACUACAUGUUUUCCAAUAAAUUCGGUACAUUCUGAAAUUAAGUAAGGAAGCCAAAUUUGUGAUGCCACACAGUGACACAUAGCAGUUGCUGCUUGCCACAGCAACCGCUCUUAAUGAAAGCAGUAUUAGAGGUUAGUGUUGAUUUUAAUUUCAGAAGAGAGACAGAAUUUUCUUCUGAAAUGAUAUUUUAUGUAUUCCACUAUAUCUGGGUCAGUGUAGUUGUUUAGUGUAUGUGGAAAAUAGACUAUAGUGUACAUAUUACUAUGAAGAAAGAACAAAUCCACUGUGUAGCACUGACGUUUCUUUACUAUUAUAUCUCUUCCCAUCAGGUAACUUUACAAAGCCUGAUUGGGCAAACUUGCUCAGAAACCAAUGCCUCUUUUCCAUUUAUACAAUUUUACUAAAGCCCAAAAGAAGGCUUAAAAAGCUACAUCCCAGGCGAUUAUAGGAAUUUGUUCUGGAAGGAUAUAAAUGCAAACAUCUGAUCUUUUUGAAAUAUAUUCAAUUCUGCAAUUCUAGUUAAAGUCCAUAAGGAUCAGAUCUUGUACUUUGCAUUUGUUAUAAAAGAUUAGGGUUUCCUUUUACUUGUUACAGCCUGUUUGUAGUGGUUUUAAGAGCAAUCUGCAGAUGUUUACAAAGCUAUGAGACUAAAGCAGUGUUUUGCUUUAUUUGCACUGUUUUUAUUUAGCUCAUUCUCUUUAGCUUCUCUGAUUCAAUUCGCUGGACCAUGAAGUAUUGAGGAUCUUCUGGGAAAAAAUAGUCUGUGUGGACCAAAAAGGAUAAAGUUCAAAGACAUUAGAAGACAUGGGUGAUGUAGUUCAGUCUUUUCUUAAAGGAAACAAAAGACACAUUAAAAGAGUAGUCUACCAUUAUAGACAGAAGCCUGGUAAGGUAAA